GGUGUUGUAGUAUAGUGGUUAGUACGCUUCGUUGUGGUACAAUCGUUCUAUCGAUAAAGCAACUCCGAAGCAUCCCAGGUUCGAAUCCUGGCAACGCCA